AACGAACGCUGGCGGCAUGCCUAACACAUGCAAGUCGAGCGCCCGUAGCAAUACGGGAGCGGCGCACGGGUGAGUAACGCGUGGGAACCUGCCCAGAGGUUCGGGACAACCGCGGGAAACUGCGGCUGAUACCGGAUGAUACCUGAGGGUCAAAGAUUUAUCGCCUUUGGAGGGGCCCGCGUCAGAUUAGGUAGUUGGUGAGGUAACGGCUCACCAAGCCUGUGAUCUGUAACUGGUCUGAGAGGAUGACCAGUCACACUGGGACUGAGACACGGCCCAGACUCCUACGGGAGGCAGCAGUGGGGAGUAUUGGACAAUGGGGGCAACCCUGAUCCAGCAAUGCCGCGUGGGUGAUGAAGGCCUUCGGGUUGUAAAGCCCUUUCGGCGGGGACGAUGAUGACGGUACCCGCAGAAGAAGCCCCGGCUAACUUCGUGCCAGCCGCCGCCGUAAUAC
rnacentral:rRNA from 1 species